AUAUGCAACUGCACUACAAAUUUGGGAAAAGAAAAACUAUCCUCCAAUUCGUAGCCUUAUUUGAUAUUUGGAAUAUUAGAAAUCUAUAACAAAUAAGCAACAAAGUAUGCAACUGCAUUUCAAAUGUAAAAACUAAUCUAUCCUCCAAUUCAUAGCCUUAUUUAAUAUUUGGGCUACCUGAAACCUAUGAGAAAUAAGACAAUGUAGUUUUAUAAAGGUUACAGGUAAACAUUACCCUCUUUCACAUCUGAACCAUUAAUCUUAUAUGAUUACUUCAACAUUAUAAUUUUACGACAACUUGCAACUAGACUGAAAGGUAAAUAAAAUAAUAUUAAAAAAAACAAACUUCCCAAAAACUUCCAACCCUAAAAAUACUGUUUGUGCCUCAUUCCUAGGACUAUUUGAUGUUCAAGAAAAACAGGACCAAUUCUCUUUCUUGUACAACCUUGAAUUGCAAGCCAUAAGCCAGUUCUCAUCUAUUAGGCAUGUUUACUGUUUGCUUAUCCUUGACAUAUUCUUGGACUUUAUAAAACUCCAACUACUGACCCUCAUAUGAAGAAAGCAAACAAGACUGAAUAAAUCAACUUCUAGUGUAUAAAGUUUCUCCCCAUUCA
rnacentral:lncRNA from 1 species